GUGAAAGUGAUGGAAACUUUAUCGUGUCUGAACAAUGAUGCUUUCAAAGGAACCACUGAUUCAC
rnacentral:snoRNA from 1 species